AGAGUUUGAUCCUGGCUCAGGACGAACGCUGGCGGCGUGCCUAAUACAUGCAAGUCGAACGCUUCUUUUUCCACCGGAGCUUGCUCCACCGGAAAAAGAAGAGUGGCGAACGGGUGAGUAACACGUGGGUAACCUGCCCAUCAGAAGGGGAUAACACUUGGAAACAGGUGCUAAUACCGUAUAACAAUCAAAACCGCAUGGUUUUGAUUUGAAAGGCGCUUUCGGGUGUCGCUGAUGGAUGGACCCGCGGUGCAUUAGCUAGUUGGUGAGGUAACGGCUCACCAAGGCCACGAUGCAUAGCCGACCUGAGAGGGUGAUCGGCCACAUUGGGACUGAGACACGGCCCAAACUCCUACGGGAGGCAGCAGUGGGGAAUAUUGCACAAUGGGGGAAACCCUGAUGCAGCGACGCCGCGUGAGCGAAGAAGUAUUUCGGUAUGUAAAGCUCUAUCAGCAGGGAAGAAAAUGACGGUACCUGACUAAGAAGCCCCGGCUAACUACGUGCCAGCAGCCGCGGUAAUACGUAGGGGGCAAGCGUUGUCCGGAAUAAUUGGGCGUAAAGGGCGCGUAGGCGGCUCGGUAAGUCUGGAGUGAAAGUCCUGCUUUUAAGGUGGGAAUUGCUUUGGAUACUGUCGGGCUUGAGUGCAGGAGAGGUUAGUGGAAUUCCCAGUGUAGCGGUGAAAUGCGUAGAGAUUGGGAGGAACACCAGUGGCGAAGGCGACUAACUGGACUGUAACUGACGCUGAGGCGCGAAAGUGUGGGGAGCAAACAGGAUUAGAUACCCUGGUAGUCCACACU
rnacentral:rRNA from 1 species